CCCUCGGUCGUCUAGUUGGUUUAUGGCGUCCGGCUGUAAUGUGAUCGCUACCGGAAUGUCGCGCGUUCGACUCGCGCCUGAGGGA
rnacentral:tRNA from 2 species